rnacentral:rRNA from 1 species
UACGUAGGUCACAAGCGUUGUCCGGAUUUAUUGGGCGUAAAGGGAGCGCAGGCGGUUUGUUAAGUCUGAUGUGAAAGCCCACGGCUCAACCGUGGAACGGCAUUGGAAACUGGCAAACUUGAGUGCAGAAGAGGAAAGUGGAAUUCCAUGUGUAGCGGUGAAAUGCGUAGAUAUAUGGAGGAACACCAGUGGCGAAGACGACUUUCUGGUCUGUAACUGACGCUGAGGCUCGAAAGCGUGGGGAGCGAACAGGAUUAGAUACCCU